UACAGGGGGUGCAAACGUUGCUCGGAAUCAUUGGGCGUAAAGCGCACGUAGGCGGUUCGUUAUGUCGGAUGUGAAAACCCUUGGCUUAACCGAGGAAGUGCAUCCGAAACUGGCGAGCUAGAGUACGAAAGAGGAUCGCGGAAUUCCCGGUGUAGAGGUGAAAUUCGUAGAUAUCGGGAGGAACACCGGUGGCGAAGGCGGCGAUCUGGGUCGAUACUGACGCUGAGGAGCGACAGCGUGGGGAGCAAACAGG
rnacentral:rRNA from 1 species